rnacentral:lncRNA from 1 species
GAGAAACAGUGAAGGGUUCUUGUUCUUCACAGGUGAGCAUAUCAUGAGGACCAGCUUCUUCUCGGCCAACUCCCAAAAGGUCAAGGUAAUAAAGGUAAUGAGAGAUCAUAUUGUUCAUGGAAUCACUAUCACCUUGACCACAAACUUGGUCACCAUAAAGAACAUUCAUGGUGGUUCCAAAACCUGGAACCCUCUUGGCCAAGGUGUCGUUCUUGGUUGGUUUCCAGUUGCCAACGAAAACGUCAUGGGCUGAGGGUUGGUGUUUCUUCACCGGCGUCAUCCACCUCCACAUUGCUGUCUGGAAAGCCAAGGUUGCGUUGUCUUCUAAGUAUUCUGGGUGGUUCAACAAGUCCACCUUCAAAGCCUCUCCAGCUUCCCCAUAGUUGUAGUUCCAGUAGAUAGGCAAGGCACCACGGCCAUGAUAUGAGACUCCUGGUGUGCAAGGAUAGGUGUAUUUGUAGUAAUCAUCGCAAUAUAUUUUGCUAGGGCUCAUUUCUUUGUUGUAGCAAAGACCCCAAGCCAAUGGUCCCCCG